CUGAAGCCCGGCCUGUCCCUCCCCGCUUCCGUGUCAGGACUUCGCCAAAGUGAAAACGAGCCAAGAAGAGCAGUGAGAACAUCUUAGAAAACAGAGAUGUUUAUGAAAUUUAACAGGAAAUGAGGAAAACAAGGCGAUGGUCUACGGAGAGGAAUGUUUCUGAGAAAAAAGACUGGAGAACAACUAAGCACUUUACUCUUAAUCUUCACAACAAUUCUUUAGAUGCAGUUGACGGAAACCCCAGACAAUGGAACUGCGAAUAAGAGGGGAACUACUACUGUACUGGGAUGAAGAUGGGGAGGAAGUAAUUACAUUAUUU